rnacentral:rRNA from 1 species
UACGGGGGGGGCAAGCGUUGUUCGGAAUUACUGGGCGUAAAGGGCGCGUAGGUGGCCUAUUAAGUCGGGUGUGAAAACUCUGGGCUCAACCCAGAGCCUGCAUUCGAUACUGAUGGGCUAGAGUUCUGGAGGGGAAAGCGGAAUUCCUGGUGUAGCGGUGAAAUGCGUAGAUAUCAGGAGGAACACCGGUGGCGAAGGCGGCUUUCUGGACAGAAACUGACACUGAGGCGCGAAAGCUAGGGGAGCAAACAGG